UACGUAGGUGGCAAGCGUUGUCCGGAUUUAUUGGGUUUAAAGGGCGCGUAGGCGGCCCUGUAAGUCAGUGGUGAAAUCCUCCAGCUUAACUGGAGGGGUGCCAUUGAUACUGCAGGGCUUGAGUGGAGUCGAAGUAGGCGGAAUUGACGGUGUAGCGGUGAAAUGCUUAGAUAUCGUCAAGAACACCGAUAGUGAAGACAGCUUACUAGGCUUCUACUGACGCUGAGGCACGAAAGUGUGGGGAUCAAACAGG
rnacentral:rRNA from 1 species